AUUGAACGCUGGCGGCAGGCCUAACACAUGCAAGUCGAACGGCAGCACAGAAGAGCUUGCUCUUUGGGUGGCGAGUGGCGGACGGGUGAGUAAUGUCUGGGAAACUGCCCGAUGGAGGGGGAUAACUACUGGAAACGGUAGCUAAUACCGCAUAACGUCGCGAGACCAAAGUGGGGGACCUUCGGGCCUCACACCAUCGGAUGUGCCCAGAUGGGAUUAGCUAGUAGGUGGGGUAAUGGCUCACCUAGGCGACGAUCCCUAGCUGGUCUGGGAGGAUGACCAGCCACACUGGAACUGGGACACGGUCCAGACUCCUACGGGAGGCAGCAGUGGGGAAUAUUGCACAAUGGGCGCAAGCCUGAUGCAGCCAUGCCGCGUGUAUGAAGAAGGCCUUCGGGUUGUAAAGUACUUUCAGCGGGGAGGAAGGCGGUGAGGUUAAUAACCUCGCCGAUUGACGUUACCCGCAGAAGAAGCACCGGCUAACUCCGUGCCAGCAGCCGCCGUAA
rnacentral:rRNA from 1 species